rnacentral:snoRNA from 1 species
GGCCUCCUGGUGCUUACCACAGGCUGUGUUCUUGCACUGACUGUCUAGGAAGAGGAGGGAAAGUAAACCCACUCCAUAUACACCUCAGCCUAUGCCCUGUGCCUGAUCUGUAUUGUGAUCGGGAGACAUAG